rnacentral:rRNA from 1 species
GUGAGGAAUAUUGGACAAUGGGCGCAAGCCUGAUCCAGCCAUGCCGCGUGAGUGAUGAAGGCCUUAGGGUUGUAAAGCUCUUUUGUCCGGGAAGAUAAUGACUGUACCGGAAGAAUAAGCCCCGGCUAACUUCGUGCCAGCAGCCGCGGUAAUACGAAGGGGGCUAGCGUUGUUCGGAAUCACUGGGCGUAAAGCGCACGUAGGCGGACCAUUAAGUCAGGGGUGAAAGCCUGGAGCUCAACUCCAGAACUGCCUUUGAUACUGAUGGUCUCGAGUAUGGAAGAGGUUGGUGGAACUGCGAGUGUAGAGGUGAAAUUCGUAGAUAUUCGCAAGAACACCGGUGGCGAAGGCGGCCAACUGGUCCAUUACUGACGCUGAGGUGCGAAAGCGUGGGGAGCAAACAGGAUUAGAAACCCGAGUAGUCC